UGGAGUGCAGUGUUGUGAUCCCGGUUCACUGCAGCCUCUACCUCCUGUGUUCAAGCAAUCCUCCCACCUCAGCCUCCUGAGUAGCUGAGACCACAGAAACUCCUGGAGGGCAGAGCCAUGCCUGCCAUUUUCAUCAUUGCAUUACCACCACCCAGCACAGUGCCUGGUACAAAAGAGUUGCUCAAUAAAUAAAUCAGGAUGAAUGGACAAAUACACGGAUAGGCACUUUGAACUACAGAUGAGCUUAAAUACUUUGUGUUUUUCUUAGUCAAACAUGUGCAAUUAAGCA
rnacentral:lncRNA from 1 species